AGGGGGGCAAAGGAAGUAAAAUAAAAUGGGAAGUCAACUGUUGAGUUUUAAACUAAUACACUAAAGUAGAAGAUGAAAAUCACAGAAAAGGCCAGACACAGUGGCUCACACCUGUAAUCCCAGCACUUUGGGAGGCCGAGGUAGGUGGAUCACUAGAGCUCAGGAGUUCGAGACCAGCCUGUGCAACAUUAAGAAACCCCGUCUUUACUAGCUACCGGGGAGGCUGAGAUGGGAGGAUCACUUGAGCCCAGGAGGCCGAGGCAGCAGUGAGCCCAUAUUGCACCACUGCACUCCAGCCUGGGUGACAGAGCGAGACUCUGUAUCAAAACAAAACAAAAAGAAACAAAAGAAGAUCACAGAAGAAAAUAUUUAUAGAACCACGACAACAAAUGUCCAAAAUAAUAGUUAGACAAACAAGCAGAGUACAAAAAAGACCAAGACGUUAACAUAAAUGUCGAGGAAAAAAUACUUUUGAAGAGCAUUAAAAAUAAACACGACUGCAUUCUUUUUAAAACUUCGCAGUAAAAAGGAAAAUAAUGCAGAGGUCAGAGAGGUGGAGAUUAAAGGGGUGAGGCAUACCCAUGAGGAAAAACAAAAAAACAACAGCAAAGGGAAAACACAGGGACAGCAGACACCAAGCAAACUGAAGACCGCACUUGAAAACAGAACAAGCCUAAAAUGCGGGGAAGAAAAGCAACCAGAGAACGAGGCUAAAAUAAACAGCCUGAGGGUGAGCUGGUAAGGCCUUAUCAGCCAGCUCCUGCUCUCCUGGGGUCCAGGGCGAUGUAGAGGCUGAUGGCAGUGGUGGGGACGCAGAAAGGAACUCAGGCGACCUUUGGGUCCUAUAUGGGUCCGCCCAUCAGGCUGAGGCCAGCAAAGAACCUGGCUAGGACGUUCAUACUUGGAGCCACUGAUGAGGCCAUGGUCAAGAAGCCAUGGGCAGUAGCCUGUGCUGGUCGUUCACCUGGCUAUGGAGAUCCUGGGGUAUUAAAUCCUGUGCCUGCACCACCCCUCCCUUGUGAACCUCCCAGCCUCCCUAGCCUGCUCAUUGCCUUCAGGAGAACCCACAAGUGGGAGCGGUGGCCAUGUGUGCCAGAGGGCCUGGGGGAACGCUGCGCUGGGAAUCUCUUUGGCCGCACUUAAGCAGGCAAGGAGACGCCCUGUUCCAGCAAGUCCAAUGCCACCCAAGAGUGCAAAAGGGAACACUGCCAGGAUUCACCAGAGACGUCAACGUGUCAUCCUUGCUUGCUGGAGGGAGCAAUGACUGUGAGGACCCAGGGACAAGCCCUCUCCAGACCGUCUGCCACGCAAAUUCCACCUGGUCAUCCACAGUAGCCAGCUGUUUGUGCAAUUAUUUGAUUGGCUAUUUCCAGUUCCAAUGACUCAGAAAAAAAGAAAAAAAAAAACAGAUUAAACUGACAAGAAAUCCAGAGUUCCAUCAUCCUGUUUCAUCACAAAUUAGAAGGCUGAGGAGAAAAUUCAGAUGAAUCAUUGGAGAGUGGAAAAUACCUGAUCUUAUCUUGAGGUGAAAAAGGGAUAUGGGGCUGAGACUUGCCAACUCGAAUUCUUCCAGGGGAUAGAAAUGUCCUCCAGCGGCGCCAAAGUUCACUUGAAACCCAGGUGGGUGCUUGGCAGUUCAGAUCCACUUCCCAGAAUGAUGAUCUUGGUGCUGAUGCUGCCAGAUGCCCUGCCCGGCCCACUCAGCCACAACCCAGUAGUUCCCAGACUUGAGGAUUACAUCAGUUUUUGUUUCAUCAUUUUGAAUUGGUUUUUAAUUGGGUGAUAGAUGAACGACUGUUGACAUUUUAUUUUUCCAAAGAAAACAUUAAAAAAUAAAACCACCAUCUACUAUCACCAUUGUUUCCUAAAAGCAUCUUAGCACCAAGAAAAGACUAAAGGAUGGCCGGGCAAGGUGG
rnacentral:lncRNA from 1 species